GUCUCUGGGGAAGGCAGAGCUGUGGUCUAGAAGAAGAUGAGGCUGCUGGGUCUUCUCCUGUGCCUGGUGACAGCCCCCCAAGGUGUCCUGUCCCAGGUACAGCUGCAGGAGUCGGGCACAGGACUGGUGAAGCCCUCGCAGACCCUGUCCCUCACCUGCACAGUCUCUGGAUUCUCUUUAAGCAGCUAUGGUGUACACUGGAUACGCCAGGCUCCUGGAAAGGUGCUGGAGUGGGUUGGUGUUGUGUGGGGUGGUGGAAGCACAGCCUAUAACCCAACGCUUAAGUCCCGCCUCAGCAUCACCAAGGAAACCUCCAAGAGCCAAGUUUAUUUAACACUGAAGAGCCUGACAGCUGAGGACAUGGCCGUGUAUUACUGUGCGAGUGUCCAGUGUGAGGUGCAGCUGGUGGAGUCUGGGGGAGGCUUGGUGCAGCCUGGGGGGUCUCUGCGACUCUCCUGCACAGCCUCUGGAUUCACCUUCAGUAGCUACGGCAUGAACUGUGUCCGCCAGGCUCCAGGGAAGGGUCUGGAGUGGGUCUCAUACAUUAGUCGUAGUGGAAGUAGCACAAGCUAUGCCGACUCGGUGAAGGGCCAAUUCACCAUCUCCAGAGACAACGCCAAGAACAUGCUGUAUCUGCAAAUGACCAGCCUGAGAGUCGAGGACACGGCUGUAUAUUACUGUCAAGCGACACAGUGA